rnacentral:rRNA from 1 species
GACGAACGCUGGCGGCGUGCCUAAUACAUGCAAGUCGAGCGAAUCACUGGGAGCUUGCUCCCGGUGGUUAGCGGCGGACGGGUGAGUAACACGUGGGCAACCUGCCUGUAAGACUGGGAUAACACCGGGAAACCGGUGCUAAUACCGGAUAAUCCUUUCCUGCACAUGCAGGAAAGCUGAAAGUCGGUUUCGGCUGACCCUUACAGAAGGGCCCGCGGCGCAUUAGCUAGUUGGUGAGGUAACGGCUCACCAAGGCGACGAUGCGUAGCCGACCUGAGAGGGUGAUCGGCCACACUGGGACUGAGACACGGCCCAGACUCCUAUGGGAGGCAGCAGUAGGGAAUCUUCCACAAUGGACGAAAGUCUGAUGGAGCAACGCCGCGUGAGCGAUGAAGGCCUUCGGGUCGUAAAGCUCUGUUGUUAGGGAAGAACAAGUACCGGAGUAACUGCCGGUACCUUGACGGUACCUAACCAGAAAACCACGGCUAACUACGUGCCAGCAGCCGCAGUAA